rnacentral:tRNA from 1 species
GCACCCGUAGCUCAGCUGGAUAGAGUACCUGGCUACGAACUAGGGGGUCACAGGUUCGAAUCCUGUCGGGUGCGCCA